rnacentral:rRNA from 1 species
UGGGGAAUAUUGCACAGUGGGGGAAACCCUGAUGCAGCAACGCCGCGUGAGUGAUGAAGGCCUUCGGGUUGUAAAGCUCUGUCUUUGGGGACGAUAAUGACGGUACCCAAGGAGGAAGCCACGGCUAACUACGUGCCAGCAGCCGCGGUAAUACGUAGGUGGCAAGCGUUGUCCGGAUUUACUGGGCGUAAAGGAUGCGUAGGCGGAUAUUUAAGUGAGAUGUGAAAUACCCGGGCUCAACUUGGGUGCUGCAUUUCAAACUGGAUAUCUAGAGUGCAGGAGAGGAAAGUGGAAUUCCUAGUGUAGCGGUGAAAUGCGUAGAGAUUAGGAAGAACAUCAGUGGCGAAGGCGACUUUCUGGACUGUAACUGACGCUGAGGCAUGAAAGCGUGGGGAGCAAACA